CUCUCCCUCUUUAUUAUGUUAUCUUGUAUUAUUGUACUUACCACUGUCUGAAAUAGUCUUACAUAUAUAUCAUUGUAUUUAUUUAUUUGCUGCCUCCCCCUACUAGAAUGGAAGCUCCAGGAAAGCAGAGAUCUUAUUUCACAUUGAAUUCCUACACCUAGUAAUACAAUAGACUACAUUGCCUGGCAUAUAAUAGACAUUUAAUAUAUAUGUAUUUGUUGAAGGAAUUUGUUGUCAACUCCUGGACAGCUCCUAUAGUGGAAUUCAGCACCAGGAAAAGAGACAGGGCCCAAGGCCAAGAGGCAGUACUCUCCCACAGACAGAGGUAACACUCACCACAGAGGGGAAGAAGCGGCUUGUCUUUACAUGCUUGAGGGCCGUGGCUAUGAGGAAAGAAGUAAGGAAGAGGAGGACAGAGAAGAAGGCGAUGUCUGGGACUAUAUGACAGCCGGGACCACGAGGGUGGCCUCCCCGUCGGGCACACUCAGGUGGGGGCAGCAAGGAGGCAUUGACCAGGCCUAGGUCCUGUAUGGAGGGGUGUUCAGGUAUGGGGUUAUGGGUGGCAGAAUAAACAUUGACUGACACUCACUGAGACACCAAGGACCCAGGAUAGGAGGUCUCCAGCCACAGCAAAUGUCUGGGCUUCUGUGAACUGUAAUGGUUUCCCUAGCCUGUGGGGAGGGAAAAGCCAGGAACCACUGACUUCUUUGGCUUCCACCAUGUCUUUCCCAGGACUCUCCCAGGAACUGGCCCUCACCAUGCUUGAGAUGUCAUCUCUGUCUUUUGGUUCUGUCUCCUUCCACUGAGACUCAUUUCCUGGGAAGCAGAGAACAAUUUGGGUAUAUGUGCCUCCUCUGGAAAGCUUCUCCAGCCCCUCAGGAGCCUGAUCUCAUGGAUCCAACUGAGCCAGAAAGUUCUUAGUUCUGACUCAUCUGUCUUCUGACCCUAAAUGCUGUGCUCCUCAGGACAUCUCCCAGUCCCUACCAAUUCCUUACGUCUCUGUAUCCCUGGUGCCCGGCAUAGGACCAGCCAGAGCAGAUGCCUAGCAAAUGUUUGCUUAAAAGAUGAGCACACCAAUCUGUGGGUUUCUAUCAGGACCAGAACUGGUUUUGCUCAUGCCUAACACAGAGUCUGGCGCUCUUGAGAGGAUAUCUCUUCCCCAUUCCUGCUGCUUCCUUGUGCAGGGGUAUGUGCAAGUGUAAAACUCUGAGCUGCUCUCCCCCUCAGUCAGUCACUCAGACUAGGGAAGAGCAGCAAUUUGUUCGAUUGGUGAAUUUGAGAGAAGGAAUGGAGCAUGCCUCUCCCUGUCCCUUCCUCUCCCCACUCUUGGGAAUAAGCUGCCUGCCCUGUGCAUGCAACUUAGCUCUGCCCUUCUGUGGCAAGACAGUCCCUGUCCAGGGCAGCCAUGACUGGGUGGGUAAAUCUAUUUAAUUUUGGUUUCAUUGUUAGGAAGCCCAUUUCCCCAUAGAUAUAAGCAUGUUCUUCUAUCAGCACUGUCAGAAAUAAAGAUGAUAUUGGGGCACCUGGGUGGCUCAGUCGGUUAAGUGUCUGACUUCGGCUCAGGUCAUGAUCUCGUGGUUCGUGACUUUGAGACCAUCUUGGGCUCUGCGCUGACAGUGAAGAUCCUGCUUGGGAUCCUCUCCCUCUCUCUCUGCCCUUCCCUGCUUGCUCUAUUUCUCAAAAUAAAUAAAUAAACUUAAAAAAUAAAAGAUAAUACUGGGCCUCCUCUGUUACUUCUCAAUGGAUUCAAAACAAAAGUGGGGAAGAGAAGCUGGUCAUCAGGAAAGUAUUCAGGAUUUUGUUGAACUUAACAAGGGGGACAGCAAGGGGACAUCCCCUCCCCCUCCCGCAUCCUCCCCCAUCUCUUCCAGCUCCGUAUUCCCCUCACCCACCUCCCAGGUCUGGGUACUGGCAUAAGCAGCCGUAGGCAGGAGAGCCAGGGCUCUGGAUGGGAUAGGCACUGGUCAAGCUCAGCAUUUUGCCAACAGCAUCGUAGAUGAAGAUGAGGCUGAUGAGGGCACAGAAGCCUUCUUCGGUGAAGCGGGUAAAGUAGCGUACCAGCACGCUGGCCUCUGUGGCCACUAGUGCCAGACAAAAGGUGGCCACCCAGAUGCCCACCCAUAGGCGGAAAGGCAGGUAGUCCAAGCUGUAAUCUCUGGGGGAGUGAGACAGGCAGGGAUUGCCAGGGCUGUUCUGCUCCCCACUUACCCCAGGUUAGGUACCCCUGGAGCCAAACAGACAGUUCCCUCCCUUCCCUAUUGACCCAGCCAGGAUCAGGCCAAGAGUGCAGCUAGUGAGGGUCUGGUGAGGGUGGGGGCGUUCUCCUACCUGCUGAAGGAGAAGAGCAGGCGUUCAAAGACCAGCACUGGCCCCGUGCUGCUGAGGAUGGUGAGGGGCUGGCCAGCCAACAGGCAGAAAGCAGCUCCAGCCACUGCAGUGCCCAGAAAACUUUCCAGCACCCCCUAGAAGCCGGCGGAGGACCCUGUCAGCACAGGACACCGGAGUCCUCAGUACAGCCACCCAAGCUUCCAGGGAGCCUCCACGGCCGACCCAUUGCCCCAGGGGUAGCUAGCAGAAUACUGAAACUUGUGCCUGCCCCCCCUCACAUCUCCCGAUUCACCUGAGCACCAUCGGUGGCUUCCCCCAGCAGACCCCCAAAAGUGAUGGCGUUAGUGAUGGUGGCCAGGUAGAUGUAGAGCACAGCCGAGAAGCACUGGGGAUGCAGCGCGUCCAGGAAGUCACUGGUGUACCACAAGGCCUUCCGACGCACAUCCUGGACAAGGCCCCCAAACAGCCUCCCACCCAUGGUUUGUCAGUGACCCAAGUGCCCACACCCCA